rnacentral:rRNA from 1 species
UACGGAGGGGGCUAGCGUUGUUCGGAAUUACUGGGCGUAAAGCGCACGUAGGCGGCUUUGUAAGUUAGAGGUGAAAGCCCAGGGCUUAACUCUGGAAUUGCCUUUAAGACUGCAUCGCUUGAAUCGUGGAGAGGUGAGUGGAAUUCCGAGUGUAGAGGUGAAAUUCGUAGGUAUUCGGAAGAACACCAGUGGCGAAGGCGACUCACUGGACACGUAUUGACGCUGAGGUGCGAAAGCGUGGGGAGCAAACAGG